UACGGAGGGUGCGAGCGUUGUCCGGAUUUAUUGGGUUUAAAGGGUGCGUAGGUGGAUUGAUAAGUCAGUGGUGAAAGGCCACAGCUCAACUGUGGAGCUGCCAUUGAUACUGUUAAUCUUGAGUACUGUAGGGGUAGGCGGAAUUUGUGGUGUAGCGGUGAAAUGCAUAGAUACCACAAGGAACACCAGCGGCGAAGGCGGCCUACUGGGCAGUUACUGACACUGAUGCACGAAAGCGUGGGGAGCGAACAGGAUUAGAUACCCCGGUAGUCC
rnacentral:rRNA from 1 species